rnacentral:rRNA from 1 species
CCUACGGGCGGCAGCAGUGGGUAAUAUUGGACAAUGGGGGGAACCCUGAUCCAGCCAUGCCGCGUGUGUGAAGAAGGCCCUCGGGUUGUAAAGCACUUUCAGUGAGGAAGAACGCCUGGUGGUUAAUACACAUCAGGAAAGACAUCACUCACAGAAGAAGCACCGGCUAACUCCGUGCCAGCAGCCGCGGUAAUACGGAGGGUGCGAGCGUUAAUCGGAAUGACUGGGCGUAAAGCGCGCGUAGGUGGCUUGAUAAGCCGGUUGUGAAAGCCCCGGGCUCAACCUGGGAACGGCAUCCGGAACUGUCAAGCUAGAGUGGAGGAGAGGAAGGUAGAAAUCCCGGUGGAGCGGUGAAAUGCGGAGAGAUCGGGAGGAAAACCAGGUGCGAAGGCGGCCUUCUGGACUGACACUGGCACUGAGGUGCGAAAGCGUUGGUAACAAACAGGAUUAGGUACCCGAGUAGUC